UGAAUACUCCCUCCGUCCGGAAAAAUUUGUCCCUCAAAUUGAUGUAUCUAGCACUAACUUGGUGCUAGAUACAUCCAUUUGAGGAACAAGCUUUUUGGGACGGAGGGAGUAUAAA
rnacentral:pre_miRNA from 1 species